rnacentral:ncRNA from 1 species
CAUCGUAAGAUGCGAACGGGAGGAAGUUGGAGGCAAAGUCCUGACCCAAGGAAUACGAACUAUUUUAGGCAUAUGCUUACUGGAUAAGGCUACUUAACAAACUAAAGUCCAAUAGUACGAUGGAGUAAGUGGUGUAAAGAUAGUGGGUGCGUGGAAUGAAAGUAU